GACAGAGGUGCCAAGCGUUAGGCGGAAUCACUGGGCUUAAAGCGUGUGUAGGCGGGUCGUUAAGUACCUUGUGAAAUCCCACGGCUUAACCGUGGAACUGCUCGGUAUACUGGCGAUCUUGAGCCACUUAGGGGCUACCGGAACAAAUGGUGGAGCGGUGAAAUGCGUAGAUAUCUGGAGGAACACCGGUGGCGAAGGCGGCAUCCUGGACCAAUAUUGACGCUGAGGAGCGAAAGCCAGGGGAGCAAACGGG
rnacentral:rRNA from 1 species